GAUGAACGCUGGCGGCGUGCCUAAUACAUGCAAGUCGAGCGAACAGACGAGGAGCUUGCUCCUCUGACGUUAGCGGCGGACGGGUGAGUAACACGUGGAUAACCUACCUAUAAGACUGGGAUAACUUCGGGAAACCGGAGCUAAUACCGGAUAAUAUUUUGAACCGCAUGGUUCAAUAGUGAAAGACGGUUUUGCUGUCACUUAUAGAUGGAUCCGCGCUGCAUUAGCUAGUUGGUAAGGUAACGGCUUACCAAGGCAACGAUGCAUAGCCGACCUGAGAGGGUGAUCGGCCACACUGGAACUGAGACACGGUCCAGACUCCUACGGGAGGCAGCAGUAGGGAAUCUUCCGCAAUGGGCGAAAGCUUGACGGAGCAACGCCGCGUGAGUGAUGAAGGUCUUCGGAUCGUAAAACUCUGUUAUUAGGGAAGAACAAAUGUGUAAGUAACUAUGCACGUCUUGACGGUACCUAAUCAGAAAGCCACGGCUAACUACGUG
rnacentral:rRNA from 1 species